rnacentral:rRNA from 1 species
AUUGAACGCUGGCGGCAUGCCUUACACAUGCAAGUCGAACGGCAGCACGGGAGCAAUCCUGGUGGCGAGUGGCGAACGGGUGAGUAACGCAUCGGAACGUGCCCAGUCGUGGGGGAUAACGUAGAGAAAUUUACGCUAAUACCGCAUACGAUCUAUGGAUGAAAGCAGGGGAUCGCAAAACCUUGCGCGAUUGGAGCGGCCGAUGUCAGAUUAGGUAGUUGGUGGGGUAAAGGCCCACCAAGCCGACGAUCUGUAGCUGGUCUGAGAGGACGACCAGCCACACUGGGACUGAGACACGGCCCAGACUCCUACGGGAGGCAGCAGUGGGGAAUUUUGGACAAUGGGCGAAAGCCUGAUCCAGCCACGCCGCGUGCAGGAUGAAGGCCUUCGGGUUGUAAACUGCUUUUGUACGGAACGAAAAGCUCUGGGUUAAUACCCUGGGGUCAUGACGGUACCGUAAGAAUAAGCACCGGCUAACUACGUGCCAGCAGCCGCAGUAAAAC